AAUAUACACGUUAUUAUAUAGUUGUAGUAGGUAGGUGAUUAU
rnacentral:guide_RNA from 1 species